UACAGAGGGUGCUAGCGUUGUUCGGAAUCAUUGGGCGUAAAGGGCGUGUAGGCGGUUUGUUAAGUCAUGUGUGAAAGCCCCCGGCUCAACCGGGGAACGACGCAUGAAACUGGCAAGCUAGAGUACCGAAGAGGGGGGUGGAAUUCCCGGCGUAGCGGUGAAAUGCGUAGAUAUCGGGAGGAACACCUGUGGCGAAGGCGGCCCCCUGGUCGGAUACUGACGCUGAGACGCGAAAGCGUGGGGAGCAAACAGG
rnacentral:rRNA from 1 species